rnacentral:rRNA from 1 species
UUGAACGCUGGCGGCAGGCCUAACACAUGCAAGUCGAGCGGUAGCACAGAGAGCUUGCUCUCGGGUGACGAGCGGCGGACGGGUGAGUAAUGUCUGGGAAACUGCCUGAUGGAGGGGGAUAACUACUGGAAACGGUAGCUAAUACCGCAUAACGUCGCAAGACCAAAGUGGGGGACCUUCGGGCCUCAUGCCAUCAGAUGUGCCCAGAUGGGAUUAGCUAGUAGGUGGGGUAACGGCUCACCUAGGCGACGAUCCCUAGCUGGUCUGAGAGGAUGACCAGCCACACUGGAACUGAGACACGGUCCAGACUCCUACGGGAGGCAGCAGUGGGGAAUAUUGCACAAUGGGCGCAAGCCUGAUGCAGCCAUGCCGCGUGUGUGAAGAAGGCCUUCGGGUUGUAAAGCACUUUCAGCGGGGAGGAAGGCGAUAAGGUUAAUAACCUUGUCGAUUGACGUUACCCGCAGAAGAAGCACCGGCUAACUCCGUGCCAGCAGCCGCGGUAAUACGGAGGGUGCAAGCGUUAAUCGGAAUUACUGGGCGUAAAGCGCACGCAGGCGGUCUGUCAAGUCGGAUGUGAAAUCCCCGGGCUCAACCUGGGAACUGCAUUCGAAACUGGCAGGCUAGAGUCUUGUAGAGGGGGGUAGAAUUCCAGGUGUAGCGGUGAAAUGCGUAGAGAUCUGGAGGAAUACCGGUGGCGAAGGCGGCCCCCUGGACAAAGACUGACGCUCAGGUGCGAAAGCGUGGGGAGCAAACAGGAUUAGAUACCCUGGUAGGCCACGCCGUAAACGAUGUCGAUUUGGAGGUUGUGCCCUUGAGGCGUGGCUUCCGGAGCUAACGCGUUAAAUCGACCGCCUGGGGAGUACGGCCGCAAGGUUAAAACUCAAAUGAAUUGACGGGGGCCCGCACAAGCGGUGGAGCAUGUGGUUUAAUUCGAUGCAACGCGAAGAACCUUACCUGGUCUUGACAUCCACAGAACUUUCCAGAGAUGGAUUGGUGCCUUCGGGAACUGUGAGACAGGUGCUGCAUGGCUGUCGUCAGCUCGUGUUGUGAAAUGUUGGGUUAAGUCCCGCAACGAGCGCAACCCUUAUCCUUUGUUGCCAGCGGUUAGGCCGGGAACUCAAAGGAGACUGCCAGUGAUAAACUGGAGGAAGGUGGGGAUGACGUCAAGUCAUCAUGGCCCUUACGACCAGGGCUACACACGUGCUACAAUGGCAUAUACAAAGAGAAGCGACCUCGCGAGAGCAAGCGGACCUCAUAAAGUAUGUCGUAGUCCGGAUUGGAGUCUGCAACUCGACUCCAUGAAGUCGGAAUCGCUAGUAAUCGUAGAUCAGAAUGCUACGGUGAAUACGUUCCCGGGCCUUGUACACACCGCCCGUCACACCAUGGGAGUGGGUUGCAAAAGAAGUAGGUAGCUUAACCUUCGGGAGGGCGCUUACCACUUUGUGAUUCAUGACUGGGGUG